UACGAAGGGGGCUAGCGUUGCUCGGAAUUACUGGGCGUAAAGCGCACGUAGGCGGCUUUCUAAGUCGGGGGUGAAAUCCUGGAGCUCAACUCCAGAACUGCCUUCGAUACUGGAGAGCUCGAGUCCGGGAGGGGUGAGUGGAACUGCGAGUGUAGAGGUGAAAUUCGUAGAUAUUCGCAAGAACACCAGUGGCGAAGGCGGCUCACUGGCCCGGUACUGACGCUGAGGUGCGAAAGCGUGGGGAGCGAACAGG
rnacentral:rRNA from 1 species